rnacentral:rRNA from 1 species
GACGAACGCUGGCGGCGUGCUUAACACAUGCAAGUCGAACGGAAAGGCCUGCUUUCCCUUGUGGAUUGCGGGUACUCGAGUGGCGAACGGGUGAGUAACACGUGAGUGAUCUGCCCCCAACUUGGGUAUAAGCCUGGGAAACUGGGUCUAAUUCCCGAUAGGACUGCAGGGUGGUGCCUGUGGUGGAAGACGAUUUUCUAGUGGUUGGGGAUGAGCUCGCGGCUUAUCAGCUUGUUGGUGGGGUAAUGGCCUACAAAGGCGGCGACGGGUAGCCGGCGUGGGAUGGUCGACGGUCACAUUGGGACUGGGAUCAGGCCCAGACUCGUACGGGAGGCAGGAGUGGGGAAUAUUGGAGAAUAGGCGGAAGCCUGAUGCAGCGACGCCGCGUGGGGGAUGACGGGCUUCGGGUUGUAAACUCCUUUCGACCGAGAGGAAGCCACCUGGUUGGAAGGGUGGUGACGGUAGUGGUAGAAGAAGCACCGGCUAACUACGUG